GAUGAACGCUGGCGGCGUGCCUAAUACAUGCAAGUCGAGCGAACAGAUGAGGAGCUUGCUCCUCUGACGUUAUCGGCGGACGGGUGAGUAACACGUGGAUAACCUACCUAUAAGACUGGGAUAACUUCGGGAAACCGGAGCUAAUACCGGAUAAUAUAUUGAACCGCAUGGUUCAAUAGUGAAAGACGGUUUUGCUGUCACUUAUAGAUGGAUCCGCGCCGCAUUAGCUAGUUGGUAAGGUAACGGCUUACCAAGGCAACGAUGCGUAGCCGACCUGAGAGGGUGAUCGGCCACACUGGAACUGAGACACGGUCCAGACUCCUACGGGAGGCAGCAGUAGGGAAUCUUCCGCAAUGGGCGAAAGCCUGACGGAGCAACGCCGCGUGAGUGAUGAAGGUCUUCGGAUCGUAAAACUCUGUUAUUGGGGAAGAACAAAUGUGUAAGUAACUAUGCACGUCUUGACGGUACCUAAUCAGAAAGCCACGGCUAACUACGUG
rnacentral:rRNA from 1 species